AAUUAUUAAGAAUGAAUUUCUGUUUAUUAUUUUCCAACACAAAAUUUUAUUGUGUACUAUUAUAUUCCUUUGGAAGCUCCUGCUGCCAAUCAAAAGCCACAGAAGCAGACAUUCGGGUUCCAAAAGAAUGUUCGCAGACCAGAACAAUCACUUCCGGGUUUGCGGCAUUCGGGAGCCAAAACAUCCAAGUUCCAGGGCGUUCGACAACCAAGGCGCUAAAUAAAUAUGCGAAAAACAGAAUGUUAGAUGGGAGGAGAGGCAUUCUUGCCUGCAGCAUCGAAAAGAGAUUCUGGCUGUUUACACAGAGCAGAGGUGUCACAUAGCAGCUGUUUGCUGUGAAGACCUGAGAACUUAAUCUCCCAUGUGCAAUUAAAACCUUCAGAAGAGAGAGGCAGGUGUAAACGCCUCCGACAUUGCUCA